rnacentral:rRNA from 1 species
ACGGAGGGUGCAAGCGUUGUUCGGAAUUACUGGGCGUAAAGGGCGCGUAGGCGGAUGGGUAAGUCGGAUGUGAAAGCCUGGAGCUCAACCCCAGAACUGCAUUCGAUACUGGCGGACUCGAGUCCGGGAGAGGGGAGUGGAACUGCUAGUGUAGAGGUGAAAUUCGUAGAUAUUAGCAAGAACACCAGUGGCGAAGGCGGCUCACUGGCCCGGUACUGACGCUGAGGUGCGAAAGCGUGGGGAGCAAACAG